UACAGAGGGUGCAAGCGUUAAUCGGAAUUACUGGGCGUAAAGCGCGCGUAGGCGGCUGUCUAAGUCGGAUGUGAAAUCCCCGGGCUUAACCUGGGAACUGCAUUCGAUACUGGGCGGCUAGAGUAUGAGAGAGGGAGGUAGAAUUCCACGUGUAGCGGUGAAAUGCGUAGAUAUGUGGAGGAAUACCGGUGGCGAAGGCGGCCUCCUGGCUUAAUACUGACGCUGAGGUGCGAAAGCGUGGGAGCAAACAGG
rnacentral:rRNA from 1 species